CUACGGGUCGCUGCAGUGAGGAAUUUUGCGCAAUGGGGGAAACCCUGACGCAGCAACGCCGCGUGAGCGAAGAAGGCCCUCGGGUCGUAAAGCUCUGUCAAGUGGGAAAAAAAUUUUUUGAUCAAUAGUCAAAAGACUUGAUGGUACCACUGGAGGAAGCACCGGCUAACUCCGUGCCAGCAGCCGCGGUAAUACGGAGGGUGCGAGCGUUGUUCGGAUUUACUGGGCGUAAAGAGCGUGUAGGCGGUUUAGCAAGUCAGAUGUGAAAGCCCUGGGCUCAACCCGGGAAGUGCAUUUGAAACUGCUUCACUAGAGUAUGGGAGAGGAGAUUGGAAUUCCUGGUGUAGAGGUGAAAUUCGUAGAUAUCAGGAGGAACACCCGUGGCGAAGGCGAUUCUCUGGACCAAUACUGACGCUGAGACGCGAAAGCGUGGGGAGCAAACAGGAUUAGAUACCCGCGUAGUC
rnacentral:rRNA from 1 species